rnacentral:rRNA from 2 species
AUGCAAGUCGAACGGUUAGAAGUUAGAACUGAGGUGCUAGAGAGAUCUAGGAUCUGAGUUCUAACUUCUGAUAGUGGCGGACGGGUGAGUAACACGUGAGCAACCUACCUUACAGUGUGGAAUAACGGAUCGAAAGGUCUGCUAAUACCGCAUGAAAUAUUGAAUCCGCAUGGAUUUAGUAUCAAAGAUUUAUCGCUGUAAGAUGGGCUCGCGCCCGAUUAGGUAGUUGGUGAGGUAAUGGCCCACCAAGCCUGCGAUCGGUAGCCGGACUGAGAGGUUGGACGGCCACAUUGGGACUGAGACACGGCCCAGACUCCUACGGGAGGCAGCAGUGGGGGAUAUUGCACAAUGGGCGAAAGCCUGAUGCAGCGACGCCGCGUGAGGGAAGACGGUCUUCGGAUUGUAAACCUCUGUCUUCGGGGACGAUAAUGACGGUACCCGAGGAGGAAGCCACGGCUAACUACGUGCCAGCAGCCGCGGUAAUACGUAGGUGGCGAGCGUUGUCCGGAAUUACUGGGUGUAAAGGGAGCGUAGGCGGGAAGAUAAGUCAAGUGUAAAAUGUAUCGGCUCAACCGGUACCCGCGCUUGAAACUAUUUUUCUUGAGUGAAGUAGAGGUAAGUGGAAUUCCUAGUGUAGCGGUGGAAUGCGUAGAUAUUA